CAAAAAAUGGGUUUUGUAGCACUGUUCAUUAUACACAAAUGUAUUUAGUUACAUUAACACAUACACAUUUAUUUUUAAGACAAAAUACAAGUGUAAUGUGUUAUGCUAAAUCAAUUGGUUAUUCACUCUGGUUUACCUAACUACCUAUCUUUAAACUAAAGUAAUUGGUUUACUUUUGCGAUUCAAAUACCGGAUGUGACGUCAUUUAACGACUUCCACGCACGAAGACGGCGCGCAGGUGAUGGUGUUUCGGUCAUACCACAAUGACUUCUCCAGUCUGGCUAAAAGUUACAAAAGGUGAUCCUUCAGUAUGCCAUUCCUUCUUCAGUGAGUGACCUGUCAAAGGAAAUAGAAAAACAAUGUAAUCUACAAGGACAUUUAAGGAUGCAGUUCAUGGAUUCUGACUUGGCAAUUAGUUUUUAAGUGAAAUUAAAUUUACUCAAGCCCAAACCAGCUGGAAUUUCCAGUGCUGCUUACCAUAUAAAAAAAAACAUGCAACGCUGAGGUCAACUACUGCCCUUACCAUCCACAAACGGAGACAUCCAAAACACUGGAAGUAGACUCAGGAGACAUGAGGUUGUCAAGGAAUCGCCUUCAAAAGCAGAUUUCAAAACUAGAUGGCCUACUCUUUUCAGAAGGGAAGAGAUUUGUGCAGAGUUUUAAAGAAUCGCAACAGCCACAUUGGUGUCUACAUACUUGGCGAAGAUGGAUCAAUAUUCUGCAAAGCUUAUAAGGAUCUAUGCAAAACGAGGAGUCGUCAAUUGACCGAGAAUUAAAAACCUGCUGGUUUCCACAACACGGACUGACUGACACAUUGAUCAGACUCCGAUCUUUCUUUGUCUACCUGAAUGAAGACCUGACCAGUCUAAUUAAAGAGUAUUUGGAUACAGAUGCACCCAGUACCCAGGAGGCGAUCCAGAAGAUGGUGAUGGGAGUCCUUGUUGUAAAAAUGUAUGGUUCAGACAUCGAAGACAGCCCAGCAGAUGUUGGAGUGUUAUUGAAGGGAUUAAGAGUUCUUGGACCUCAACAACAUUGUGUAUGCGACAACCAUGCUGAUGGGACUGAUAUAUGCACUGAACUUGAGCUACUUUCCUGAAUUCAGGUACACUUUUGAAGUAUUGCAGUUGUUGUUUCUGGAGCUAGAUGGGAAGUAACUAUCUCAUAAAGUUCAGACGCUGAAGACCAAGCCUUUUGCAGAUGUUUUGAGGAAGGAAUGUUGUAAUAUUUCAUAUGUAAAUGCCCUGUUUUUGAAAUGGAGUUUUCGUGCAUUUCAUUUGUCAGUAACUGUAAAAAAAAUUGUAAUGUUGUUAU